rnacentral:rRNA from 1 species
AGAGUUUGAUCAUGGCUCAGGACGAACGCUGGCGGCGCGCCUAACACAUGCAAGUCGAACGGUGAAGAGGAGCUUGCUCCUCGGAACAGUGGCGGACGGGUGAGUAACACGUGAGCAACCUGGCUCUAAGAGGGGGACAACAGUUGGAAACGACUGCUAAUACCGCAUAACGUAUCGGGAUGGCAUCUUCCUGAUACCAAAGAUUUUAUCGCUUAGAGAUGGGCUCGCGUCUGAUUAGAUAGUUGGCGGGGUAACGGCCCACCAAGUCGACGAUCAGUAGCCGGACUGAGAGGUUGAACGGCCACAUUGGGACUGAGACACGGCCCAGACUCCUACGGGAGGCAGCAGUGGGGGAUAUUGGACAAUGGGGGCAACCCUGAUCCAGCGACGCCGCGUGAGGGAAGAAGGUUUUCGGAUUGUAAACCUCUGUUGACGGAGAAAAAAAUGAUGGUAUCCGUUUAGAAAGCCACGGCUAACUACGUGCCAGCAGCCGCGGUAAUACGUAGGUGGCAAGCGU